GGGGCCUAGGCCUCAAAGGAGAUUCUGAGUCUUCUGCAUCCGGCUGGAAGAAAGAAGGAUAAGGGGCGCAAACCCACCCUCCCAGCCUCUCGGGAUGCUACGGCUUCCAUGGCUCCCAGAGCCCACUUUUCUCUGGCAGCACAGGGGUACCAAUGGACAUCGCUGCAGCAUCUGUCCAGACACACCACAGGCCCACUCCACCUCUGCCAGCCCUUUCCCCAGGGAGAAACAGCCUGGGAGUGAGCUAUCCUUGGAUUUGAACCCGAAGUCGUGUUGAACCAGAUUUCCUUCUUGCUGAAUGUGAUCGGUACUCUGCCAGGCCUGGAGUCUGCAGAGGCACACACAGCAUGUCCCUGGACAAACUGCUUAACCACCGGCACCACCGACGAUAACGGAACGUAUGAGUGCCUGAAGUGUUUGAUUGGGGCCUAGCAUAAUGCUGUUGCUCCUGAAGGGGGAAGGGACCUCGGGACAAACCUCAGCUAGAGAGGGGUCUGGAUACAUCCCUGUCACCCACUCCAGCAGCUCCCAAAACCAGCUGAAGAGAAGAGGAAGGCUGGGAGUUCCUGAGCCAGAAGGAGGCUGCAAGGAGGGAGCCUCUUACCCAACACUGAGAUGUUUAUAUCAAAGUUAUUCUUUUGCUGGCUCUGGGUUACGGUGCAAGUCCAGAUGCCACUGUCCUGAAUCCUUAGGUUGGGCAUGGAGAGGGUUUUGGAGCCCUU